CCUACGGGAGGCAGCAGUGGGGAAUAUUGGGCAAUGGGCGCAAGCCUGAACCAGCAACGCCGCGUGAAGGAAGAAGGCUCUCGUGUUGUAAACUUCUUUUAUCAGGGACGCAGCAAGUGACGGUACCUGCUGAAUAAGCCAUGGCUAACUACGUGCCAGCCGCCGCGGUCAUACCUAGGGGGCAAGCGUUAUUGGGAUUUCCUGCGUGUAAAGGGCGUGUAGGCGGUAAAGCAAGUCAGAUGUGAAAACCAGGGGCUCAACCUGUGGCCUGCAUUUGAAACUGGUUGUCUUGAGUACUGGAGAGGCAGACGGAAUGCCUGGUGUAGCGGUGAAAUGCGUAGAUAUUAGGAGGAACACCAGUGGCGAAGGCGGUCUGCUGGACAGCAACUGACGCUGAGGCGCGAAAGCGUGGGGAGCAAACAGGAUUAGAUACCCCUGUAGUC
rnacentral:rRNA from 1 species